CUACGGGGGGCUGCAGUGAGGAAUUUUGCGCAAUGGGGGAAACCCUGACGCAGCAACGCCGCGUGAGUGAUGAAGGCCUUCGGGUCGUAAAGCUCUGUCAAGUGGGAAGAAUCCAUCCCGUGAUAAUACUACGGGGUCUUGACGGUACCACUGAAGGAAGCACCGGCUAACUCCGUGCCAGCAGCCGCGGUAAUAGCGGAGGGUGCAAGCGUUAUUCGGAAUUAUUGGGCGUAAAGGGCGCGUAGGCGGCUCGGCAAGUCAGAUGUGAAAGCCCGGGGCUUAACCUCGGAAGUGCAUUUGAAACUGCCGAACUUGAGUAUGGGAGAGGGAAGUGGAAUUCCUGGUGUAGCGGUGAAAUGCGUAGAUAUCAGGAGGAACACCGGUGGCGAAGGCGACUUCCUGGACCAAUACUGACGCUGAGGCGCGAAGGCGUGGGUAGCAAACAGGAUUAGAUACCCCAGUAGUC
rnacentral:rRNA from 1 species